UACGUAGGGGGCAAGCGUUGUCCGGAAUCAUUGGGCGUAAAGAGCGUGUAGGCGGCUUGGUAAGUCCGCUGUGAAAGUCCAGGGCUCAACCCUGGAAUGCCGGUGGAAACUGUCAAGCUCGAGUCCGGAAGAGGCGAGUGGAAUUCCUGGUGUAGCGGUGAAAUGCGCAGAUAUCAGGAGGAACACCAAUGGCGAAGGCAGCUCGCUGGGACGUAACUGACGCUGAGACGCGAAAGCGUGGGGAGCAAACAGG
rnacentral:rRNA from 1 species